GGCUUAACACAUGCAAGUCGAGCGGAUGAAGGUAGCUUGCUACUGGAUUCAGCGGCGGACGGGUGAGUAAUGCUUAGGAAUCUGCCUAUUAGUGGGGGACAACGUUCCGAAAGGAGCGCUAAUACCGCAUACGUCCUACGGGAGAAAGCAGGGGACCUUUGGGCCUUGCGCUAAUAGAUGAGCCUAAGUCGGAUUAGCUAGUUGGUAGGGUAAAGGCCUACCAAGGCGACGAUCUGUAGCGGGUCUGAGAGGAUGAUCCGCCACACUGGGACUGAGACACGGCCCAGACUCCUACGGGAGGCAGCAGUGGGGAAUAUUGGACAAUGGGGGGAACCCUGAUCCAGCCAUGCCGCGUGUGUGAAGAAGGCCUUUUGGUUGUAAAGCACUUUAAGCGAGGAGGAGGCUACCUAGAUUAAUACUUUAGGAUAGUGGACGUUACUCGCAGAAUAAGCACCGGCUAACUCUGUGCCAGCAGCCGCGGUAAUACAGAGGGUGCGAGCGUUAAUCGGAUUUACUGGGCGUAAAGCGUGCGUAGGCGGCCAAUUAAGUCAAAUGUGAAAUCCCCGAGCUUAACUUGGGAAUUGCAUUCGAUACUGGUUGGCUAGAGUAUGGGAGAGGAUGGUAGAAUUCCAGGUGUAGCGGUGAAAUGCGUAGAGAUCUGGAGGAAUACCGAUGGCGAAGGCAGCCAUCUGGCCUAAUACUGACGCUGAGGUACGAAAGCAUGGGGAGCAAACAGGAUUAGAUACCCUGGUAGUCCAUGCCGUAAACGAUGUCUACUAGCCGUUGGGGCCCUUGAGGCUUUAGUGUCGCAGCUAACGCGAUAAGUAGACC
rnacentral:rRNA from 1 species